ensembl:misc_RNA Gm24442 predicted gene, 24442
GGGUGUGAGGUUAGUCUUGCUGAGACAUUCCGCCCCGUUGACCAGCUGGGUUGAUUGGUCUCAUCUAGCCAGCUGUGUAGGUGUCCUUGUCUCCCAUCUCCACUCCAUGGGCACCCAUCUUGAAGCUGCAUACUGGAUCAAAGAUGACUGCUCUCUGAUCAGGGAUACAGGAGUAACCUGUUCACCCCUACUAGAGCCUCAAAACAAGCUCUCAAACUCAGUAAACACUUAACCUUAAAGCUUAAAAUACUAGGUAUGGUUGUCAGAUUAUUAUUGAUGUAAUGACAUAACCAAAGAACCGACAUAAUGAAGGAAAGCUUGUGUUGG